UGGCACGAAUAUAAAUAUAGCAAGACUAUUAUAGAAGCUAGUAAUUUCUCUUUACAAGCCACUAUAAUGCUUGGAUUUAACUUGGAUCGUGGCCACCGUUCAAAUUAAACAUCCAAAUUUUUUCAUAGAUGGAUAUAUUCACUUGAAUUUUAGUUUUUGACUCAUACUGCAAUGCCAACAACUUUUUAGCUCACUCCCUCUUAGAAAAUAUAUCUAUGGAA
rnacentral:lncRNA from 1 species